UGAUAGGUGGACUAUCUAUAAUGGAAUUUUGGUACCUGAGAGACUUCAGUGUUGCGCAGAAGAUAUGUCCCCUUGGAGAUGCAAUAAUUCUAAACUCUACAAAUGUCGGGCUCAUUCCAAGAGGUUUGGUAUCAGAAAGACCCUAGGGAUAUGAUUCAGCGUGCGAUUUCCCACGCAAGCACCACACCUGACACCAUAUUUGAUCAAGAAGAGAGAAAGAACGCGGGUGAAAAGAAUGACUAAUAUCGUAUUUGUUUAUUUUUUAUUUGUUUUCCCUUCGGCUGACUGUAUUCACUGAUGUGAACAAUGUUUGUUGUAAAGAGCACUAAUAUUACGAAAUUGUCACCGCGUUUAUCUUUUCCCUCA